GUGCUCACUUCAGUUGCACAUAUUCUGAAAUUAAAAUAAUAACAGAGAAGAUUAACAUGACAUUGUACAAGGAUGACAGGUGAAUUCAUAAAGCAUUCCAUAUUUUU